ACUCUUCCGUUGUCUCGUAGUAACAGAGCGAAAAUGGCGUAGAGCGGAGGGUGUACGGCGAAGGGGACGAGGGGACCUUCUCCUCCCCGGGGCGUAAGCAGGGAGAAAACGGGGACCGGGGGUUUUCGGUUUAGUCUUCUCGAAAUGAAUCCUCAGCCGGCGCGGCCAACUGUCCCCAGAAUAAACCCUGCACACAACCAGAUUGGGAGACCGAAAUGUGUCACCGUAGAGGAAGAAACCCCCUGGCUUUUGUUUACCAUUAUGAGCAGCUGCAGCUCGAACCACAGUGGAAAUACCUCCGCAUCAUUUCGGACCAAGGAUGGGCUUUCCCGUCAAUGCAGUUGUAAAAGCCCAGAUCACUUCCACGGCUACCCGGACCUGUGGAGGUAAAGGACGAAGAGUCAUUGUGAAGAUGACCUCUUUUGGGCUUUUGGGACACGGCUGCCCUCCUUCCUAAUGUUGCUGGGACAUUGGCCUCCACAGCCCCACCCCCUUGUCUUGGCCUGUUUCUACAGCAUGCUUAUCUGUCAGGACAUCUGCCAAGAUUGCAGUGACUAUGUCUACAUGUAGCUAAACGUUCUUAUGUAAACAUAGUCACUGUUGCUUCCUGACUAAGUAAAGAAUAUCCUCACACUCUGUAAUUAGAUCAAAGCAGUUUGAUAAUGAAGAAACUAAUCCCAUUUCUUGGGAAGAAAGUAAAGACACAAGAUACUGUAGCAAAGAUCAACGCCUGUGAUUAAAGUAGACUCAUAGGGUGUAUUAUUUGUUUUUUUGCACUACCUCAUCGCCAUAACAAGUCCAACAGGAGUGAAAGGAAGGGUGAUCAGUAUGAGUAACUUAAUGAUUGUCAAGCGCCCCAGCAGUCAUGUAUCGUUCCUGGCUGAAUUUGGUUUUGGUUAGUAAGUCAGGUUGCUGACCGGUGAAUAGGAGAAGACUGAGCAGCCCAGAAGCACAUGUUUACUUUCAGUUCAUACAUUUUGAGGAAAAUGUCGACUCACUCAAACUGUGCAUCUUUUCUAAAGGAAGGUCACAACAUAGUAUUUUAUUUACUCCAUGCUUUAAUUUUUGCAUUUCAUUUUUGUGCACUCCUUUUUGCAAGUCUGCAGGUUUAUUCACAAAUUGGAGGUGGAGACAGAAUUGCCAAUAUUCCUCUUGUGAUUUAAUCCUUGAGAUCCCUAAAAAUCUUAGUUAGUCUUUUAUUCGAAUGUCUAGUUCAAUUUUACCCCCCUCCAACAUACUUUUAAUUUGUCUUUGUACCUGGAAAUAUUCCCAUUUUGUCCUUUAUUUUUAUAUAUAUAUAUAUAUAUAUAUAUAUAUAUAUAUAUAUAUAUAUAUAUAUAUAUAUAUAUAUAUAACAGGACAUUCCCUACACGCUACAGGUAGAGACAGAGUUGACCAUUUGAUUCCUUUUGUGCCGUGAACUGUGAGACAAGAUAAUCUAGCCCCCCCACCCCCAAAAAAAGUGAAUCUGGCUCGCCCAGAAAAGUUUAUCAGACAUCCUGCUUUGUCUCUACCUGCUUUUUCUGUGUGUCCAGUAAGCUCUUACACCUGAGAGAGACCAGUGCUGAAAUAGCAGCUUUAAUUCCUUUGAUUCAAGUUUACAGUGAAUUCGUCCUUACCUGAAGGAAACCCUGGUCUCAUUUGUUUUUUAUCUGAUUUCUAUAUUUAAAAAAAAAAAAAAAUCACAUUUACCGGGAUAUGUGCAAUAUUUGAUCUUAACUGUCAUGUUGUUGACCAAACUGUAUAUUGUAUAAACAAGUGACAAGUUGUUUGAAAGCAACAAAAUCACCAAUGUCUUCCAUUAAGAUAUGUAUAGACUCAUGUGCAUUAGCUUAUUUAGCGGGACUGUGGUGCCAACAUUAUAGUAGCCAUGCAUGACCAGUAGUGAUGCUUGCUUCAUGAAGAAUAGUGAAAUCGACUUCUAGACUAAGCUGGGGCUUAAAACUGCGGAUUUUGAAAAAUGAAAGGGUGAUAGAUUGAGGCACUACAUUUAAAUACAGCUUUGCCCUAAAAUCUUAGACUAAUGCAAGAUCUCCUUUUUAUUCCAUGUCUUGGGUAUAGAAUAAGUUGCAUAAUAAAUAUACAAUAUACAAUUAAAGAACACAAUCAGAGUAUGCAGUUGUUGAUUAAGUAUUGAUUCAGCUAGUUCUAUAUAGGCAGAUAUGCUCAAUAUAAGUAAGUACUUUCUAACAGAACUGCUGUACAUUGUUAGGAUUCUUAUCUGAAAAUUUUUUUUUUUAAAAAGCUUAAGAGAUGUCCUAAAUUAUAUGUAUGCACUCUUGAGCAUCAAAAACAUUAGGCAGUUUUAUGCAACAGCCAAAAAGCUCCCCAAAACAAGUCCCAGAUUUGACAAUUACAGAGACCUUUAGAGAAAUGUUAUAGUAUUUUAAUCUUAGAUUUGGAUAGAAUUGCUAGGGAUCCGACGCGUUUUAGUCCUAGAAUUAAGAUCUCACCAUGACAUUGUAUUGUACAUAAUACCUCAUAGUUGUGAGAUUCAGAGCGAUAUAUUUUAAUCCAUAAAAUUGUAUUUGAUUAGAGUUUUAGAAGCAAUAACCUACAAUAAUGCAUGAGUUUAGUGCCAGGGUGUAAGUGUUAAAAGGAGUCUGUAAUGUCAUGUGGAAAGGAUCCCCCCACCCCCCCUUCACUUUUAUGCAUAUUGUAGCAAUCUAUUAGUCACUUUUUGGGGAAGUUGUACAAUAUUUUGCUUCAGAAUAUAGUAUCACUUAUGAAGGGAUACUUCCUGCAGAACAAGGUAUAUGUGAGGGCUGCUGUAGCAUUAUGGUAUUACUCUGAUAAAUGAAACAAAAUACUUCUUUUUCACAGACUAAUUUCCCUGCCUUUUUUAAGCACCAAAACAAUAAUCUAAACUAAUUGGUACAUGAGAGAUGCUUUGAAUUUCAAUUCUUGUAGCAUUUUUACAUCUACAAAACCACCUCUUCCUUUCGAAAUACAGACUUUCAGUAACUCUGUGGCUGCUGCAAAGGACUUACUGAACGAACUUGACAUUUGUUUGAAAAGCACUUUCUCUCUAUGUACUGACUUGCACCAUCAUCAUCAUCCUGUCUUGAAUACUGUGUUCUAAAAACCCUGUGAUGCUCUUUGUGGGGAUUUAUAAUCACAAUUUAUAAGCAAGUAGGCAACAUGAAUAUGUGGGUUUUAAAAAUAUGCAUGAUUUAGCAUAAUGAAUGCAUUGUAUUGCAUGCAAUAAUGUGAAUGAGUGUAACUAGGCUAUUGAAAUGUUCAUAUCAGAUGUUCUGUGACAAGGUGACAACUUGGGGAUGGCUGUUUGACACAACAGCAAGCAUGUUGAAGUAGCUUUGAUCAUCAGUUGUAGUUUUUACAGACUAAACUGCACCAAAAAAAGAAGUAACAGAGAGUAGUUUUAAGUGUUUCUGCUCUCAAUCUCUGUUGUGCCAAACAUGACCAGGGCAGUACAGCCACAGUGCAGCUGAAAAACACCAUUUAACCUUUGUUCCCAUGGGGAAAAAUUAACAGACGCUUAGGUAAAAUUACAUUACUUUGUUGAUCAACUUUUCCACGGAGAAGGUGGUCUGUGUAGAAACUAUGCACUCCAGAGGGAGGACAUGGGCAUGCUUAUUACGUGUGAGCCUCUUGUCUGGUUUUGUAUUAACUUAAAAAAAGAGAAAAGGAAUCUGUAUCAGAAAUUCAGCAAUAAAAUGCAGCAUGGUGCCAACUGGA